rnacentral:rRNA from 1 species
UCCACGCCGUAAACGAUGUCGACUUGGAGGUUGUUCCCUUGAGGAGUGGCUUCCGGAGCUAACGCGUUAAGUCGACCGCCUGGGGAGUACGGCCGCAAGGUUAAAACUCAAAUGAAUUGACGGGGGCCCGCACAAGCGGUGGAGCAUGUGGUUUAAUUCGAUGCAACGCGAAGAACCUUACCUACUCUUGACAUCCAGAGAACUUAGCAGAGAUGCUUUGGUGCCUUCGGGAACUCUGAGACAGGUGCUGCAUGGCUGUCGUCAGCUCGUGUUGUGAAAUGUUGGGUUAAGUCCCGCAACGAGCGCAACCCUUAUCCUUUGU